AGAGACAGAGAGAGAGAGAGAGAGUUGGUAUAAUCUGGGAUAUAGACGAUCUGGGAUUUGUCUUGUUUUUAGAGAAUUUGCAUCUCUAUAUAUUUUCUCGGGGGUUGUUCUUCAAUUUUUCCUUCAUUCUUCAUGCAAUUAUCUUACAGUAAGAAUCUUCUUGUCCAUCUCUGUUUACACUCAUAGAUCUUGAGGUUUACCUCAUAAUCCUUUCUGAAUUCAAUUUCUUUGACUCCCUUUUGUCAUUUCUACCAUUUUUUGAUGCAUCUUCUUUAAAAAUCCGUUUUCCUUAUCUUCUAUUUGGCCCCUUUUUAUGUAUAUAUACAUUUUUUUUUUCUGAUUUUUCACUUCUGGGUUUUUCUCUAUCAACUCGCUUCUCAAACUAAGAGUCACAAUCUCUUUCAUUUUCACUUCUGGGUCUUCCAAAUGGAACUCUUACAAGACCCAAUCCGAUGUGUUAAACCAGCCCCUUUAUCUGUUUCUCUCAUUUUUCACGGCUGAUAAAACGGGAUAUCUCUUUCUGUGAUUUUUACUUGUGGGUUUUCUUAAUCAAUAAUCAACUCUUCUUCUUCAUCGCUUUGCCUCAAUUUCCUGCUAGUUCUCGGAUUUCACUUUUGGGUUGGUUUUCACUGGUAUCUUUUUUGUGAUUGUAGGCAUGGACAAAGACGAGAAAAGCCAGAGAGCAAAUAAAGCAUUAGAGCCUGAUUUUUUCUUGCAGUGGGGGAAUAAAAAGAGGCUUAGAUGUGUGAGAGUAAGAGACCCUGAAAUUAUCUCACAGAGAUCCGAUGGUGUCUUUCGCAGGAAAAUCACAACUCGUAUUGAUAGACGCAUCGUCUCUUCUGCUACAGAGAAAGAAACGUCUCAUCCUCAAUCCAAUCGCCUUACCAGGUUAGAUUGGUGCUCGGUUUCUUUGCUUGCCUUCCGAGGAGAAAAAGGGCCAGUUCCUGACUCGGAAUAUGAGGCUUUGUUGAGAGUUGGUUUUUGUUUAGCCACUAUACUCUCGGACUCGUUAAUCUUCUCUUUUUCUCAGCAACCAAAUUGAGAAAUUUCUCUAAGAAAAUGAGGUUGGCAGAGGUUUCUUGUUUUUUUUCUGUUUGGUUGCUCGGGAAAUUAUAAAGAGAAAUUAAAGUUCAAUCUGUAUUAUUUAUGUUGUUUCAAUUCCCUAAUUCUGAUUUGUUUUCCUUUUCUCAGCAACCAAACAGACAGUUGAGAAUUUCCCCGAAUAUAAAAAGAGAAAAGGUCGGAACUUUCUUGCAACCUCCUGUUUGGUUGACGGGAAAAUGCAAGAAAUCAAGAAAAAUAUACAAAAUAAACUCUUUUAAAUGAUUUUGCAGCUUUCAGAUCCCAAGUUAUGAACAAUCUAUGGAUUAAAAUAAUGGUUAAAAUUGGAAAUUUCAACUUAUGCGGAUCUGUUUGGUACAGGAAUUCUGAGGCAGCAACACUCCGGUCUGGUACGACUGAGAACCGGAAAUCGGCGUCACCGGAGAAAGAAGACAGGUAUUACACGACAAGAGGGUCAAUGAGUGUGGACGAGAAUGGGAAGAUUUCAAUUGAUGGUAACAAUGGAGAGGAUAAAGGACACGUUUGGCCAAAGCUAUAUAUCACACUGUCAAGCAAAGAAAAAGAGGAGGAUUUUAUGGCUAUGAAAGGGUGUAAGCUUCCUCAACGGCCUAAGAAGAGAGCCAAGAUUAUCCAAAGAAGCUUACUUUUAGUGAGCCCUGGGGCUUGGUUGACUGAUAUGUGCCAAGAGAGGUAUGAAGUGAGGGAGAAGAAGAGCACUAAGAAGAGACCGAGAGGACUGAAGGCCAUGGGAAGCAUGGAGAGUGACUCAGAAUGAGAGAUUGUGAAAUUGAAGCAGCUGAGAC
rnacentral:misc_RNA from 1 species